rnacentral:rRNA from 1 species
CCCUUAGAUGUCCUGGGCCGCACGCGCGUUACACUGAUGCAUUCAACGAGCUUAUAACCUUGGCCGAGAGGCCUGGGCAAUCUUGUUAACGUGCAUCGUGAUAGGGAUAGAUUAUUGAAAUUAUUAAUCUUGAACGAGGAAUUCCUAGUAAACGCAGAUCAUCAAUCUGCAUUGAUUACGUCCCUGCCCUUUGUACACACCGCCCGUCGCACCUACCGAUUGGAUGGUCCGGUGAAGCCUCGGGAUUGUGGUUCUUGCCGCUUUAUAGUGGCGUGACCGCGAGAACUUGUCUAAACCUUAUCAUCUAGAGGAAGGUGAAGUCGUAACA